UACGUAGGAGGCAAGCGUUGUCCGGAUUUACUGGGCGUAAAGAGCGUGUAGGCGGCCCGGUAAGUCCGCUGUGAAAGUCGGGGGCUCAACCCUCGAAUGCCGGUGGAUACUGUCGGGCUAGAGUGCGGAAGAGGCGAGUGGAAUUCCUGGUGUAGCGGUGAAAUGCGUAGAUAUCGUAAGGAAGACCAGUGGCGAAGGCGGGUCUCUGGACAGUUCCUGACGCUGAGGCACGAAGGUCAGGGGAGCAAACGGG
rnacentral:rRNA from 1 species